rnacentral:rRNA from 1 species
AACGCACCUUGCACUCCUUGGUAUUCCGAGGAGCAUGCCCGUUUGAGCGUCUUGAUAUCAUCAAGCGCACCCGCCUUUUUGGUGGGCUCGCAAUUGGACUUGGACGUGCUGCCGGACGCUUUGCGAUUGGCUCGUCUUGAAUGCAUUAGCAGGAUCCAGUCGGCCUCGGACCUACGGCUCUCACUCGGCAUGAUAAGAUCACCUGUCGAGUCAUCCCCGGCCCGCAUUUGCAGAUCCGCUUCCAACCGUCCCACUGCGGACAACGUGGAGCAACGGCCCUGCCGCCUUCGACGUCUGACCUCAAAUUGGUAGGACUACCCGCUGAACUUAA